AGAGAGGUUGAGUAACUUACCCAAGUUUUCAUAGCCGAUCAAUCGUGGAAACAAGAUUUAAACCCAGGCAGUUUUUCUCCAGAGCCUGCCUUCUUUUUCACCACUAAACAUAAAUGUCAACAGAGAGAUGUGUGAGGGCUGAUUGUGAGCAUGUCUUCCCAAGUCUGAAUUCAGUGACCUCACAUUAGUAGCCUGAAAUCAGCUGUGGUAAAUGUAUUCCCACCAUGGAAAUCAGUAAAUGCUGUAAUCAGAGCUCCUCUUGCCUCUCCGGAGCUGGUUGCUAAACAUUUACCAGCACACCACUGGUUACAGACACAUUUGGAAAGCUGUUUGACGGAAUAUUGCAGGUAGGAGCAUAAAUCCAGUCCCUGGUACUCCAUCUUGGCCAGAGUAGAAGUCCAAGUAGCAAUUUUCCUGAAAUGGAAUAAAUGAAGGCUUUAAGAGGAUGGUGGACCUGAGCAGGAUGGGCAACAGGAAGCAGAUAUGACAUACCCAGUAUUCUUGGUUCUUACCUGGAAAUUUUGGUUUUGAAAGGGGAAAACAUUUCCUGAGCUGCAGACAUCACAGAAGUGUCCCUGCCCACCCGCUCCGUCAUCUCACAACAGACAGGUUCAUCUGAGAAAUGUAUUGGAAGCAGCACUUGCCCCAUCUGUCUGUCCUGGCUCCACUACAGUGCCCGCCAUGACCAGGGUUUGUCCACUAGCUGGAGAUCAUACUAUUACAACAAAGAGGCUACUUACAUGGGGCUCUUUCUAAGUGAGCAGAGUCAGCUCAAAUUCUGCACAAGAGACAAUCUACCUGCCAACUCUGGUCUGCAGCAUGAGGAGCUCUUUUGCUGAUGGGCAAAAGGUUUGAAUCCUGGUUCCACCAUGGCUAAUUGGGUGACAGUGGACAACCUACUUUCUGGGCCCCAGUUUCUUAUGUGGUAGACAAUGGAGAACUUCAAAGGGGAAGACACUGCCUUGGCUCCCUGAAGUGUGGAUAUGGCCCACUCUCAUUCUGCUGCUUGGACUCACCAAACUCUGGCCUCCUUUAUCUCUGAGUUGAACUUUUAAGGCAAGACAAUCCCUCCUAAGGAAACUGAAGUUCUAACUUUCCCAAGACCAAAGAGGCUUAAUCUCAGAUCACGGAAUUUACAAUGUUGGAAAAACUCCACCUCAUAAUUACUUCUCAAUCAUCUCCUUCUUUCUAUCUCAUUCACAAAUAUAGCCUUCAAGCAAUUUAUUCAAAAUGUCACUAAUCAGGAAGGAAAAUAAUUAUUUCAGGAGGAGAGGUGUUAGUUUUACCACUGAUUGCUGUGUGACUCUUGAGAAAGCACUGCUGGUUUAAGUGAGUGGGUUUGAAAAUCACAAAGGUUAGUAAGGAGGUGGUGGCAGAGGACCAGGCAAUUUUAAAAUAUGGUAUUGCCCAACACCAUUUAUUAAAGAGACUCUUUUCUCCAUUGUGUAUUCCUUCCUCCUUUGUCAUAGAUUAAUUGACCACAUAGGCGUGGAUUUAUUUCUGCACUCUCUAUUCUGUUCCAUUGAUCUGUGUCUGUUUUUGUGCCAGUACCAUACUGUUUUGAUUACCAUAGCUUUGUAGUAUAGUUUGAAAUCAGGAAGCAUGAUACCUCUAGCUUUGUUCUUCUUUUUAAAGAUUGCUUUGGCUAUUUGGGGGCUUUUGUGGUUCCAUACAAAUUUUAGGAUUCUUUGUUCUAGUUCUGUGAAAAAGAUUAAUUAAUAUAUUACAAAGAAGGCAAGAAUAUACAAUGGGAAAAAUACAGUCUCUUCAAUAAAUGGUGCUGGGAAAACUGGACAGAAACACGAAAAAGAAUGAAACUGACCACUUCCUUACACCAUAUAUGAAAAUAAACUUAAAAUGGAUUAAAGACUUAAAUAUAAGACCUGAAACUAUAAAACUCCUAGAAGAAAACAUAG
ensembl:lncRNA